UGAGGAUCUAAUCAGCUGGGUGCUUCUCACUCAAACUGACACAACGGUUAACUGCACGACUCAAGCUUAAAAGAAAUCAUGAAGAAUACAGGUGCUACACUGGGAAUGAGAAAAUGUGGCUCCAAAGACGACUGCAACUCUGUGGACUUGACUUAAUGCCAACACCCAGGUGACGCCUAGCACUCAUACAAAGAAUAAUGGCUUACUACUAACAAUGAAAUCUUAUCUGAGUAAAGCACGUUUCUUUCUG
rnacentral:lncRNA from 1 species